AUUGAACGCUGGCGGCAGGCCUAACACAUGCAAGUCGAACGGCAGCACAGAAGAGCUUGCUCUUUGGGUGGCGAGUGGCGGACGGGUGAGUAAUGUCUGGGAAACCGCCCGAUGGAGGGGGAUAACUACUGGAAACGGUAGCUAAUACCGCAUAACGUCGCAAGACCAAAGUGGGGGACCUUCGGGCCUCACACCAUCGGAUGUGCCCAGAUGGGAUUAGCUAGUAGGUGGGAUAAUGGCUCACCUAGGCGACGAUCCCUAGCUGGUCUGAGAGGAUGACCAGCCACACUGGAACUGAGACACGGUCCAGACUCCUACGGGAGGCAGCAGUGGGGAAUAUUGCACAAUGGGCGCAAGCCUGAUGCAGCCAUGCCGUGUGUAUGAAGAAGGCCUUCGGGUUGUAAAGUACUUUCAGCGGGGAGGAAGGCGGUGAAGUUAAUAGCUUCACCGAUUGACGUUACCCGCAGAAGAAGCACCGGCUAACUCCGUGCCAGCAGCCGCAGUAA
rnacentral:rRNA from 1 species